UACGUAGGGGGCAAGCGUUGUCCGGAAUCAUUGGGCGUAAAGCGCGUGUAGGCGGCCCGAUAAGUCCGCUGUGAAAGUCCAGGGCUCAACCCUGGGAUGCCGGUGGAUACUGUCGGGCUCGAGUCCGGAAGAGGCGAGUGGAAUUCCUGGUGUAGCGGUGAAAUGCGCAGAUAUCAGGAGGAACACCUGCGGUGUAGACGGCUUACUGGACCAUCACUGACGCUGAGGCGCGAAAGCCAGGGGAGCGAACGGG
rnacentral:rRNA from 1 species